rnacentral:misc_RNA from 1 species
UGAGAUGCAACUUCCACAGC